rnacentral:rRNA from 1 species
UCGAACGCUGUCCGCGCUUGCGCGGGCGGAGUGGCGCACGGGUGAGUAGCGCGUGGGAACCUGCCCUGGAGUGGGGGAUAACCGAGGGAAACUUCGGCUAAUACCGCAUGCGCCCCAGGGAGCGAUCCCGGGGGGAAAGAUUGAUCGCUCUGGGAGGGGCCCGCGUCGGAUUAGCUGGUUGGCGGGGUAACGGCCCACCAAGGCGAUGAUCCGUAGCUGGUCUGAGAGGAUGGCCAGCCACACUGGGACUGAGACACGGCCCAGACUCCUACGGGAGGCAGCAGUGGGGAAUAUUGGACAAUGGGGGCAACCCUGAUCCAGCAAUGCCGCGUGAGUGAUGAAGGCCUUAGGGUUGUAAAGCUCUUUCGGCGGGGACGAUGAUGACGGUACCCGCAGAAGAAGCCCGGCUAACUUCGUG